AGUGAACGCUGGCGGUAGGCCUAACACAUGCAAGUCGAACGGCAGCACAGUAAGAGCUUGCUCUUACGGGUGGCGAGUGGCGGACGGGUGAGGAAUACAUCGGAAUCUACUUUUUCGUGGGGGAUAACGUAGGGAAACUUACGCUAAUACCGCAUACGACCUACGGGUGAAAGCAGGGGAUCUUCGGACCUUGCGCGAUUGAAUGAGCCGAUGUCGGAUUAGCUAGUUGGCGGGGUAAAGGCCCGCCAAGGCGACGAUCCGUAGCUGGUCUGGGAGGAUGAUCAGCCACACUGGAACUGAGACACGGUCCAGACUCCUACGGGAGGCAGCAGUGGGGAAUAUUGGACAAUGGGCGCAAGCCUGAUCCAGCCAUACCGCGUGGGUGAAGAAGGCCUUCGGGUUGUAAAGCCCUUUUGUUGGGAAAGAAAAGCAGCAGGUUAAUACCCCGCUGUUCUGACGGUACCCAAAGAAUAAGCACCGGCUAACUUCGUG
rnacentral:rRNA from 1 species